UUGGAAAAGAGUAGAAAAAUGAAGACUUUUUGCAGAAGACAGAAAUACCUAGUUUACCAUGAAGGUGAGGCAUUUAUUUUGUUCCCUAUUUUAGCUCCAGUGGCCAGAGUAACACGUAAGUGUUACUUGUUGGUGGAAGGAAGGCUUGGUGGAAGGAAGGAUUGAUGGAGAGAUAAGGGAUCUCAUGGGAUCCAGUAUUCUAGAGAAACAUCCUGAGAAAGUUGCCUAACAGAUAAUUCAGUGUGGAGGAAGCUAGCAUCCAGGCUAGAACCCCGUGUGGUGAGGAACUGAGACCUCACUCACCAACAGCCAUAUGAGUGAGCAAUCUGGAAGUGGUACCUUCAGCCCCAGUCGGGCCAUCAGAUGAAACUGCAGUGUCUGCCAGUACCCUAACUACAACCUUAUGAGAGUCUCUGAGCCAGCGCCACCCAGUUUCAGGUUUGUAAUAUAGUGACUCAACAAUUCUAUAAAUCACCCAGUGCUUAUCAUGAUAAGUCUCCUCAGGCCAAGGAAACAAAAGCAAAAAUAAACUACUGGGACUACACCAAAAUAAAAAGCUUUUGCACAGUGAAGGAAACCAUCAACAAAAUUAAAAAGUAAGCUACUGAAUGGGAGAUGAUAUUUGCAAAUGAUAUAUCUGAUAAGGAUAUAAAGAACUUAUGAAAAGAACCAAUAAAUAGAUAGUUAACUUCUACAACUAAAAAAAUCCAAUUAAAAAAUGGGCAGGGCUCAUUAUACUUCAAUUUUUAAAAAAUGGGCAGAGGACCUGAAUAGGUAUUUUUCCAAAGAAGAUAUACAGAUGGCCAAUAGACACAUGAAAAGAUGCUCAACAUCAUUAAUCAUCAGGGAAAUGCAAAUCAAAACCAUGAUAUCACCCAAUACCUGUCAGAAUGGCUAGAAUGAGAAAGACAAAAGAUAAGUGUUGGCAAGGGGGUGGAGAAAAGGGAACCCUCUCAUGCACUAUUGGUGGGAAUGUAAAUUGAUGCAGGCACUGUAGAAAAUAGAAUGGAAGCUCCUCAAAAAAGUAAAAAUAGAAAUACCAUAUGCUCCACUAGUUCUACUACUGGGUAUUUACCCAAAGAAAAUAAAACACUAAAUCAAAAAGAUAUAUGCACCCCUGUGUUUACCGUAGCAUUAUUUACAGUAGCCAAGAGAUGGAAGCAACCCAAGUGUCCACCAAUAGAAGAAUGCAUAAAGAAGAUGUGGUAUAUAUAUACAAAGGAAUAUUGUUCAGCAUAAAAACGAAUGAAAUCUUACCAUUUGUAACAACAUGAGUGGAUCUAGAAGGUAUUAUGCUAAGAGAAAUAAAAGAAAGACAAGGACUAUGUAAUUUCACUUACAUGUGGAAUCUGAAAAACAAAACAAAGCAUAGCAGACACAUAAAUACAGAAAACAAAUUGAUGGUUGCCAGAGGGGAGGAGGUUGGGAGGAAGGGCAAAAUGCAUAAGGAAGAGUAAAAGGUACAGGCUUCCAGUUAUGAAAUGAAUAAGUCAUGGGAAGAAAAGGUACAGCAUAGGAGGGGAUAUAGUCAGUGGUGUUGUAAUGGCAUUGCAUGGUAACAGAUGGUAGCUAGACUUGUGUUGAGAAUAGCAUAAGGUAUAGACUUUUGAAUGAUUAUGUUGGACACCUGAAACUAACAUAACCUUGUGUGUCAACUACAUUUUAAUUUAAAAAAAAAAGGAAACAUUAUCUGGGUAUAUCAAGUGGUCAACAUACCAAGUCUGGGCUUUUCUAGAUCUCUGGUUUACCAUUUACCAUAGCCUUUAUUUUUUGGCCGAGGUAUUCAGUUUUGUUAACGCUUGAAUUGCCUGCCAUCAGGGAAACUAAACAUAGCUUAGUAAAUCUACCAAAGCUUUGUGUAUAACAACAUGGAUUAACCACAUGGGUUGCAGGAGACAGACCGCUCGAUUAGACCUUGGCUUUGCUUUUUACUGGAUUUUGAUCUUGAUCAAGUUAUCUGACCUCUGCAUCUGUGUCAUCAUCUGAAAAUGAGGGUAAUAAGUGCCUCCUAUGUUACUAUUGUAAUGAAAUAAUGUGAGUAAAAUGUGAGGUAUGAAUGAAAUGAUGCUUGUUAAGCACUUCACCCAUUCCUGGCAAUACUUAAAGGCUCAGUAAGUAUUAGAUGUUGAUAGUGAUGUUAUGUUGUAGAUUUUCAUCAUUUUAUUAUUAUCAUGGCUGGUUUUAUCAUACGAGGCAAAAAGUUAAUAUAAUGAAUUUAUAAUAAAACAUAGUAUAGUACCUGGAAUACUUGAGUUACCUCUCAAUAGUACUUCACUUAUUGGUUUAAAGAUAAUUUAAAUAUAGAAACCAGUAGUUAGAAAGCUGUCUGAUUAAUAAGGAUAAAAGAUUAGUUUAUGGACAAAUUGAAACAAGUUUUUUUGUUUUGUUUUGUUUUGCUUUUAGCUGGUAUCAACUCAUAUUAAGAGAGUAACUUCUGGUUAUCUCUGCUGAUAGAAUGAUGAUUGGCCACUAAAUUUACUGUUGAUUAAUUCUUUUGAUUGAGGUGAAUUCACAUAACAAAAUUAACCAUUUUAAAGUGUAUAAUUUAUUGGCACUUACUACAUUCAUAAUGUUGUGGAAACACUUCCUCCUAGUAGUUACAAAACAUGUUUUUAUCACCCCAAACAAAAUCUCAUACCCUUUAAGUAGUCACUUCUCACUUCCUGAUCCCGCUAACCCAAGGCAACCACCAAUCUACUUUUUGUCUUUUUGGAUUUAUUUACUUUAGAUAUUUCAUGUAGAUGGAGUCACAUAAUAUGUGAGCUUUUAUGUCUUUCACUUAGCCUAAUAUUUUUGAGGUUCAUCCACACUGUAGCAAUUAUCAGUACUUAAUUCCUUUUUAUGGCUGAGUCAUAUUCUGUUGUGUAUAUAGGCAAUAUUUUGUUUAUCCAUUCAUCUAUUGGUGGCCCUUGAUUACUUUUUACAAGUGUAAAAUUACUUAAUAAAUACAGCCUGGUAGAAAAAUACUUUCAAUAUGGGCUUCCAAAAGGAAAAUGUUAGGAUCAUGAGACAUAAAUGGUACAUUUACCUAGCAACCGUUGACUCUCCAAUGACGAGUACAGAAUGUGACACGUGAAUGAAUUGAAUAAACUUGCAUGAAUGAUGAUGUUGGAAACUGACUUACAGAUGGAAUCAGUGUUCCCCAUUGCACCAACUCAACUGAAAGGCAGAGGGUAAGGGAGCUCACUGCUAGAGUCUAUGCAGGUUAGCCAUAUGGGCACAGGGCACUAUGGAGAAAGGCAAAUCUGGAAGGGCAAACUGAGAAAGCCAACAUAUGGACCAAAAGUCACUCAGGUCAGAAAGGGGCAGGUGACUGCACCUCUCAUCUUAUUCAGGGCCAUAGAAGAAUGAGUGAUGAGUACCAUACACAGAUACCCAUGCUCGUGCUUUCCUCCAUUAAGCCUUACAUCUGGUUCUAAUACAGGGAGUUAAAAAAGUAAUAUAUAGGGACGCCUGGGUGGCUCAGUCGGUUAAGCAGCCGACUUCGGCUCAGGUCAUGAUCUCACGGUCUGUGAGUUCAAGCCCCGCGUCGGGCUCUGUGCUGACAGCUCAGAGCCUGGAGCCUAUUUCAGAUUCUGUGUCUCCCUCUCUCUCUGACCCUCCCCCGUUCAUGCUCUGUCUCUCUCUGUCUCAAAAAUAAAUAAACGUUAAAAAAAAAAUUAAAAAAA